rnacentral:rRNA from 1 species
GACGAACGCUGGCGGCGUGCCUAAUACAUGCAAGUAGAACGCUGAAGCUUGGUGCUUGCACCGAGCGGAUGAGUUGCGAACGGGUGAGUAACGCGUAGGUAACCUGCCUGGUAGCGGGGGAUAACUAUUGGAAACGAUAGCUAAUACCGCAUAAUAGUAGAUGUUGCAUGACAUUUGCUUAAAAGGUGCAAUUGCAUCACUACCAGAUGGACCUGCGUUGUAUUAGCUAGUUGGUGAGGUAACGGCUCACCAAGGCAACGAUACAUAGCCGACCUGAGAGGGUGAUCGGCCACACUGGGACUGAGACACGGCCCAGACUCCUACGGGAGGCAGCAGUAGGGAAUCUUCGGCAAUGGACGGAAGUCUGACCGAGCAACGCCGCGUGAGUGAAGAAGGUUUUCGGGUCGUAAAGCUCUGUUGUAAGAGAAGAACGAGUGUGAGAGUGGAAAGUUCACACUGUGACGGUAUCUUACCAGAAAGGGACGGCUAACUACGUG